UGGGGAAUUUUGGACAAUGGGCGCAAGCCUGAUCCAGCCAUUCCGCGUGAGUGAAGAAGGCCUUCGGGUUGUAAAGCUCUUUCGCAAGGGAAGAAAACUUAGGCUCUAACAUAGCCUGAGGUUGACGGUACCUUGAUAAGAAGCACCGGCUAACUACGUGCCAGCAGCCGCGGUAAUACGUAGGGUGCGAGCGUUAAUCGGAAUUACUGGGCGUAAAGCGUGCGCAGGCGGUUUUGUAAGUCAGAUGUGAAAUCCCCGAGCUCAACUUGGGAACUGCGUUUGAAACUACAAGACUAGAGUAUGUCAGAGGGGGGUAGAAUUCCAUGUGUAGCAGUGAAAUGCGCAGAGAUGUGGAGGAAUACCAAUGGCGAAGGCAGCCCCCUGGGAUAAUAUUGACGCUCAUGCACGAAAGCGUGGGGAGCAAACAG
rnacentral:rRNA from 1 species